rnacentral:lncRNA from 10 species
GGCUAAUCCAGAGGUGGGGGAGGGGCUAAAGACACUGGGCUCUGCCAGGGGCCUUGGAUGAGCUUAUCAUGGAACAUAAGAAAAAUAAAACAGAUGUCAGCCUGUGUAUGAAGAAUUCAUCCACAAGAUUUGAGCAGACCGAAGACUGUGAGACUUCCUCCCCACAGUGAGCUAAAAGGACGCUUUUGUCAGAGUGGGGAAAUAAAAGGGCUUUAUGGGAAGGAAGAUAAGAACAGAUGAGUCAGAGGUUUCUGCUUAAUGCUCACUCUUCAAUUCUUUCCCGAGCAAAACCAAGAAUCUUCUUGGGCUAAGCCCCAAUUUGGGGUUCACCUGCCUUGCAGCAACAUGGCACCAAACAUGCGGCAGAAGAGAGAAAACGACAGCAUGAGAGACGGAGAAAGAAAUGGCCAGUUGGCAAGGUGGUAAUGAGAGACAGCAGUUGGCAAGACAGUGAGAGACAGCAAGAGAUGGCAAGUGACAGUUAUUGUUAAGAUGACAAAUGGAGAGAUGGCAAGAAAUAGAGAAGCAGUCAGUGAUGGAGGCUGCAAGAGUUGUAACACUAACCAAAGGCUCUUUUUAGAAUCAUCGUUUUCCCUGGCAGGUGGUACAGCCAAGCAGACAGGCAAGUAAGUGGCCAUACUGCUACUGCCUCAUGUAGGAUCCGGCAGGCUGGUGGGUUAUCAGUCCUCACGUGGGACCCUCCCACCAUGGCAGCUGAGCACAUCCAAGCUGGGGGAUCCUGAAGAGACCUUCACCUGGGUGCCACGUGGAAGAUUGGCCAGCACCAUUUUGACUCCUGUGGAUGGUUCCAGGUAAAGACAAUCCUUGCACAAGGCUUCCAACUCGACCCGCCUACUGACCUGGAGAAUGAAAGUGUCCUGCCUCGGGGCCCCUCAGAUCAGUGAUUUAUGAGAGGAGUCCUCUCAGAAGAAGAGGUGGGAGAGAAACAGGAUAGGACAGA